rfam:Myotis davidii contig97902, whole genome shotgun sequence.
GCCUUGGCUCAGUGGGUAGAGCGUCGACCUGUGUACUGAAGGGUCCUGGGUUCAAUUCCCAGUCAGGGCA